CUACGUGCCAGCAGCCGCGGUAAUACGUAGGGUGCGAGCGUUAAUCGGAAUUACUGGGCGUAAAGCGAGCGCAGACGGUUACUUAAGCAGGAUGUGAAAUCCCCGGGCUCAACCUGGGAACUGCGUUCUGAACUGGGUGACUAGAGUGUGUCAGAGGGAGGUAGAAUUCCACGUGUAGCAGUGAAAUGCGUAGAGAUGUGGAGGAAUACCGAUGGCGAAGGCAGCCUCCUGGGAUAACACUGACGUUCAUGCUCGAAAGCGUGGGUAGCAAACAGGAUUAGAUACCCUGGUAGUCCACGCCCUAAACGAUGUCAAUUAGCUGUUGGGCAACUUGAUUGCUUAGUAGCGUAGCUAACGCGUGAAAUUGACCGCCUGGGGAGUACGGUCGCAAGAUUAAAACUCAAAUGAAUUGACGGGGGCCCGCACAAGCGGUGGAGCAUGUGGUUUAAUUCGAUGCAACGCGAAGAACCUUACCUACUCU
rnacentral:rRNA from 1 species